rnacentral:rRNA from 1 species
UAUUUAAGUUGUUGCAGUUAAAAAGCUCGUAGUCGGAUUUUGGCUGAGAACGGUCGGUCCGCCGUUAGGUGUGCACUGACUGGUCUCAGCUUCCUGGUGAGGAGGUGUGCUUCAUCGCCACUUAGUCACCGUGGUUACUUUGAAAAAAUUAGAGUGUUCAAAGCGGGCUUACGCUUGAAUAUGUUAGCAUGGAAUAACACCAUAGGACUCCUGUCCUAUUUCGUUGGUCUCGGGACGGGAGUAAUGAUUAAGAGGAACAGUUGGGGGCAUUCGUAUUUCAUUGUCAGAGGUGAAAUUCUGGGAUUUAUGAAAGACGAACUUCUGCGAAAGCAUUUGCCAAGGAUGUUUUCAUUGAUCAAGAACGAAAGUUGGGGGCUCGAAGAUGAUUAGAUACCAUCCUAGUCUCAACCAUAAACGAUGCCGACUAGGGAUUGGCGGAUGUUAAUUGAUGACUUCGCCAGCACCUUAUGAGAAAUCAAAGUUUUUGGGUUCCGGGGGGAGUAUGGUCGCAAGGCUGAAACUUAAAGGAAUUGACGGAAGGGCACCACCA